rnacentral:tRNA from 1 species
GGUCGAUUAGCUCAUGAGUUGGUUAGAGCGCCGUACUAAUAAUGCGGAUGUCAUGGGUUCGACCCCUAUACUGACCA